ensembl:lncRNA
GGGCUAGAUAGGGGGCUAGAGGUGGGGCUAGAGCUGGGGCUAGAUAUGGGGCCAGAUGUGGGGCUAGAGAUGGGGCUAGAGUGGGGCUAGAGAUGGGGCUAGAGGUGGGGCUAGAGAUGGGGCUAGAAUUGUGGCUAGAGGUGGGGCUAGAGGUGGGGCUAGAGGUGAUACCCUCUUUUCUUCCCUCUCUCCCAUCUGCUCCCCUUCUGUCUACCUCUCUCUGUGUAGUUUGUCCCUCUCUUCUCUGACCUCUCUACCACAUCCAGCAGGGCUACUGGGACAAAACAGAGUAACCAUGGUCACCUAAUCCCCUC